UCGGAUAUGGUGUAACGGCUAACAUUGCCGCCUCUCAGUAUUGCGGGGAUAAGACCCUAAAAUCGGAUCGCGGCAGCUCGGGGUUCGAUUCCCCGUAUCCGAA